UUUGCCUCGUAUUAUACCAGU
rnacentral:piRNA from 1 species